CCUACGGGAUGCUGCAGUGGGGGAUAUUGCACAAUGGGGGAAACCCUGAUGCAGCGACGCCGCGUGUGGGAAGACGGUCCUCUGGAUUGUAAACCACUGUCCCCAGGGACGAAGAUGACGGUACCUGGGGAGGAAGCUCCGGCUAACUACGUGCCAGCAGCCGCGGUAAUACGUAGGGAGCGAGCGUUGUCCGGAAUUACUGGGUGUAAAGGGAGCGUAGGCGGGGAUGCAAGUUGGGUGUCAAAACUACCGGCUCAACUGGUAGUCGCACUCAAAACUGCAGCUCUUGAGUGAAGUAGAGGCAGGCGGAAUUCCUAGUGUAGCGGUGAAAUGCGUAGAUAUUCGGAGGAACACCGGUGGCGAAGGCGGCCAACUGGGCUUUAACUGACGCUGAGGCUCGAAAGUGUGGGGAGCAAACAGGAUUAGAUACCCGUGUAGUC
rnacentral:rRNA from 1 species